rnacentral:snRNA from 1 species
GUGCUCGCUUCAGUAGCACAUACACGAACAUUGGAACGGCACAGAGAAGAUUAUUAUGGCCCCUGCCCAAGGAUGACACCCAAAUUCAUGAAGCGUUCCAUAUUUUU